rnacentral:sRNA from 1 species
ACGCCGUAGACAGUAGGUGCUUUAAGCUUAAUUUCCUACCGAGGAUAAAAAAGACAAUGACUUUUUAACUCCUACGGUAAGUGGGAGUUUUUUAUA